AGAUGGCGACCGGCGCACGGGUGAGUAGCACGUAUCCAACCUGCCGAUAACUCCGGAAUAGCCUUUCGAAAGAAAGAUUAAUACCGGAUGGCAUACGAAUAUCGCAUGAUAUUUUUAUUAAAGAAUUUCGGUUAUCGAUGGGGAUGCGUUCCAUUAGUUUGUUGGCGGGGUAACGGCCCACCAAGACUACGAUGGAUAGGGGUUCUGAGAGGAAGGUCCCCCACAUUGGAACUGAGACACGGUCCAA
rnacentral:rRNA from 1 species